GUUAAAGUGGCUUAAUGGUAGAGCACUUGCCUAGCAUGUAAGUGGCCCUGGGUUCUAUCCCCUGUAUCACA
rfam:Ictidomys tridecemlineatus contig000850, whole genome shotgun sequence.